rnacentral:rRNA from 1 species
AGCGAACGCUGGCGGCGUGCCUAACACAUGCAAGUCGAGCGAGAAAGAGGACUUCGGUCCUUGAGUACAGCGGCGAACGGGUGCGUAACACGUGGGCAAUCUGUCCUCUGGAUGGGGAUAACCCAGCGAAAGUUGGGCUAAUACCCAAUAAGACCACGGAAAGUUAUUUCUGAGGUCAAAGGGUGCUUCUUUUGGGGGCAUCCGUUAGGGGAGGAGCCUGCGGCCUAUCAGCUUGNGGUUAGGGGUAACGGCCUACCAAGGCAAAGACGGGUAGCCGGCCUGAGAGGGCGACCGGCCACACUGGGA